rnacentral:lncRNA from 1 species
CCCAUUUUGGCUGUAGUGUUUCCAAGCAUGUGAAUGAGAACGCGUUCUUUGGUAUUUUUCUCCGGACAUUAUCGAACAAAAGGACCAUUUGUGAUGUAACUGGGACCUUUUGGAGUGCCAACAGAAGAAGAUCAUCAAAGGAGUUGGUGCUCACAGAGGCCAGGUCAUCUCCCUGGGCUUCUGUAGUCACAGAUCUGGCUUCAAUACACGUACUGGGAUGAUCAGAUUCCAGGAAUAGCUGCACUUUGGUCAAGCAGAUAGCCCAGCAGCUAAGGAGUUGGAUCUGUGGCUGGAGUUGGACCUGUGGCUGAAAGGUGGCUGGUUCAAAUCCCAGACCAAAAUCAAACCAUUCCCCUACUAAUGGGCCCUUGAUCAAGGGCCUUAACCCCACAACAUGCUCUCCUUCCAGGGAAGCUGCUUGAACCUGUGCUUGUCUCAACUGUGUGUGUGAAUUUUGAGGGGGUUGAGAACGGAGUAGAAGACAUUUUUAUGUUGUUCACUAUAACUAAUGGACAAAGUAUAUUGUAUUACACUGCGCGAAAAGGGACAUCUUUAUCUAUAUAUUUCCCGAUAUGUGACAUUUCAUUCGAUAUAAGGAGUAGACAUGCUCCAGAAACACAUGUCCAUAAUUUCAUAUAUGGAGGUAGGAUAUUCUCCGUAAAGGCACAGUUUCUACAUGCAUCCAAUCUGAACCUCAGAAAUCUCCCUGCUACCGUAUGAGUCCAGGGAGAUAUCUGAGGUGAGAUUCCCUCAAGACACGCACCUGAUGCGCGUGCACCUGCUUACAUACUUGUAGAAUAUUUUUACUCCAGAAAGGGUGUAUCAACAUGCUGACAUAUCUAAGCCUUUAUAAUUAGGCAUGAACAAAUCCACAUAUUUUCAGAAAUGUAUUAUAUCUGUAGUCAUUACCUGAUCAUUUAUGGAUCCGUAUUUUUUUAAAUGCAUAAUUUCAAUAGAUAUCCUUACAUGAUAUUUAAUAUUCAUCCUCAUAUGUCUGAUGAAAAAUGGGCUAAAUCCAAUUCAGGAUCAAUGUCCAUGAGCCAAAUUAUUUUACGUUCAGCCGCCGAAAAUCAUUGUGCUUCUUCACAUGAAGGUGACAUACCUGAGGAAACAUUUGCACCAUAUUCAGUAGUAGGAUACAAGGCAUGGAAAGGCAAACAUCAUAUUUAAUCCAAGUACUACUCUGCUAUUUCUGUUUAAAAAAAUCAAGAGCUCCAAUCACAACACGUGUUUCC